rnacentral:rRNA from 1 species
UACGUAGGGUGCAAGCGUUAAUCGGAAUUACUGGGCGUAAAGCGUGCGCAGGCGGUGAUGUAAGACAGAUGUGAAAUCCCCGGGCUCAACCUGGGAACUGCAUUUGUGACUGCAUCGCUGGAGUGCGGCAGAGGGGGAUGGAAUUCCGCGUGUAGCAGUGAAAUGCGUAGAUAUGCGGAGGAACACCGAUGGCGAAGGCAAUUCCCUG